GGACGGAGCUCUGGUUCCUAGCGUUUCCUUCUUCCGGAGGAGCGCCCACAGGAAGCCGGAGGAGAGCGGAGAAGAGACCAUUAGGCACCCACCCAGAUUUCCGCCAAAAGAUUUCUUGUUCAAGCGUUUGCGUGAUUAAGACCUCCACAUCAUCAGCAUCCAAUAACACAACAAUAGCUGCUUGGAUUCUGUGCGUUGCACUUGGUUGACUGCAAGAUCAAUAUUGUGUAACCGUCAUUGGAGGUUCAAUGCGCCAAUAUUAUGAAACAAGUGGUUCAAUGGCCAUGAGAAAACGUAAAAUAGAG